UCCUGUCCAGUUGGUGCCACUAAUGUGCCAACAGACCGCCAAUGAACUCAAUGCCAGAAGAAGGGAAGUUAGUAGAAGAUGAUGACUGGAUAAACAAAUAAAAACCAACAUGGAAACAACAGGGAGUAAAAUGGUC